GAUGAACGCUGGCGGCGUGCUUAACACAUGCAAGUCGAGCGAAGCGCUUAAGUUUGAUUCUUCGGAUGAAGACUUUUGUGACUGAGCGGCGACGGGUGAAGGUACGCGUAGGGUAACCGUGCCUCAUACAGGGGGAUAACAGUUAGAAAUGACUGCUAAUACCGCAUAAGACCACAGGGUCGCAUGACCCGGUGGUAAAAAACUCCGGUGGUAUGAGAUGGACCCGCGUCUGAUUAGCUAGUUGGUGGGGUAACGGCUCACCAAGGCGACGAUCAGUAGCCGACCUGAGAGGGUGACCGGCCACAUUGGGACUGAGACACGGCCCAA
rnacentral:rRNA from 1 species